AUAUCGUUUCCCAAGAGACUUGUGUAACUAGACAAUCGUAUAAUUUCUAACUAACCUAGACUAAAGAAUGUUUCCAUAAUUUGAGUUUUGGUGAAAUUUAAUUAACUAUAAAGCAUAAAUGAUAAAAGUGAUCUUAAGCACUCAAACACUUUGAAAUGGAGAGAUUAUAAAUGCAAUGGAAUGAUAUUGUUGGGGUAUGAUUUCACCUACUUCACUCUUAUGCAUAGAAAAUCACUUCCUCUUCAUUGAUGUGUCAAUGUCAAUCUACUAAUUUACUCAAACCCCAAUCCCUUGGUAGAAUGAGCCUAGACUUCCUCAUUAGACUCCAAUCCCUUGGAAAACCUAAUGAUUAAUUCCGCAUUAAGAAAUGAGAUUUUAAGACAUCCAAAGGUCCUAGUUCUAUCCCUAGAUACUAUUUCCUUUAGGUGUUUAACCCAAGUCAAGGUUUACCCAAUAUUUCCCAAUAUCAAGAAACCCUAAAUCAUGUUAUGGUUAGCAACUUCACAACAAGCAUUAAGAAAAGAAAUUAAACACUAACAAUCAAUGAAAGAGGUAUAUAUUCAUUCAAAACAACAUGCUUUACAUAAGAGUUUAGUGGUUACAUCAAUCCCCCAACAAUAAUGAAACUAGCUCUCCAUGAAUGGAGAGCUCAAGCUUACAACAAUGGUGGAAAUGGAAGAAAGAAGAGAACCCAAGGAAGAAGAAGGGUUGUUCCCACAGCUCCUAGCUCGUCCCAAGAGCUCCCAAUCAGAGGAAAUGCGUCUGGGUAGCAAAAGAUACAAAGGCCCUCGCAUUUUAGGUCUAAAAAGACCUAAUUUUUCCACAUCAGCAUUGCCACCGCUUAGCUGCACCCCAGCUGCAGCCUUCCAGAAAGCUGGGCGCUCAGCUGCACCUCAGCUGCACCCCAGCUUCAGCCUUCCAGAGAGCUGGGCGCUCAGCUGCACCCCAGCUGCACCCCAGCUGCAGCCUUCCAGAGAGUAGGGCGCUCAGCUGCACCCCAGCUACAGCCUUACAGAGAGCAGGGCGCUCAGCUGCACCCCAGCUGCACCCCAGCUUCAGCCUUCCAGAGGAGAAUGGGGCUCAGCUGCACCCCAACUGCACCCCAGCGGCAGCAACAGUCUUUACUCAAUAUUUCCUCUUUUACAUUCAUUCUUGCUUCUGUGGUUCUUCCAUUCGUCGGUUUGGCCAACAAGCUUCAUGUACAUGAUCUAACAACCAAAAAGUGGGGAUUAGUUAAACAAUUUAAAUGAAUUCAACUAAAGAUGUAGUUACUUAGAAACUUAACAAAUUGAGGCAUAAGGAAGGUAUAAAGCUAAGAAAGAGUUGACAUUUUCUCUCAAUUCACUACUGAAAUCAUAGCAAAAUAUGUCAUUAUCACUACUCUCACUAAAUAACUCAUCCCUCUCUACUUGAGAAUAAAUGAUCAUUAGAGUGUCAUAAUAGACCAUCAGUUCAAAUCUCCACACAUUCAUGCAACAACAACAUCCAAGGCACUACCAUGAAAUCUCUCCACGAGUCAUGGAAUUAUGUCC
rnacentral:lncRNA from 1 species